UACGUAGGGUGCAAGCGUUAAUCGGAAUUACUGGGCGUAAAGCGUGCGUAGGCGGUUCGUUAUGUCUGCUGUGAAAGCCCCGGGCUUAACCUGGGAAUGGCAGUGGAAACUGGCGGGCUUGAGUGUGGCAGAGGGGGGUGGAAUUCCGCGUGUAGCAGUGAAAUGCGUAGAGAUGCGGAGGAACACCGAUGGCGAAGACAGCCCCCUGGGCUGACACUGACGCUGAGGCACGAAAGCGUGGGGAGCAAACAGG
rnacentral:rRNA from 1 species